rnacentral:tRNA from 2 species
UCCCUGCUGGCGCAAUGGUAGCGCGUAAGACUUCUAAUCUUAAGGUUGUAGGUUCGACCCCUACGUAGGGAG